UAAUAGCCCUGAUGGAAACGGCAUCCUUUUUUUGCGGCUGGAAUUUAGCUUUGGAAAAAAAGAUACAGUGGACAGCAGGAAAUAGC
rnacentral:sRNA from 1 species